UACGUAGGGGGCAAGCGUUGUCCGGAUUUAUUGGGCGUAAAGAGCGUGUAGGCGGCCAGGUAGGUCCGUUGUGAAAACUCGAGGCUCAACCUCGAGACGCCGAUGGAAACCAUCUGGCUAGAGUCCGGAAGAGGAGAGUGGAAUUCCCGGUGUAGCGGUGAAAUGCGCAGAUAUCGGGAGGAACACCGGUGGCGAAGGCGGAUCUCUGGGCCUUACCUGACGCUCAGGUGCGAAAGCUAGGGGAGCGAACAGG
rnacentral:rRNA from 1 species